rnacentral:rRNA from 2 species
UGAAAAGCCCGCUCGCCGGAAGACCAAGGGUUCCUGUCCAACGUUAAUCGGGGCAGGGUGAGUCGACCCCUAAGGCGAGGCCGAAAGGCGUAGUCGAUGGGAAACGGGUUAAUAUUCCCGUACUUGGUGUUACUGCGAAGGGGGGACGGAGAAGGCUAUGUUGGCCGGGCGACGGUUGUCCCGGUUUAAGCGUGUAGGUGUGUGUUCCAGGUAAAUCCGGUUCACUUUAACACUGAGGCGUGACGACGAGGCACUACGGUGCUGAAGCAACAAAUGCCCUGCUUCCAGGAAAAGCCUCUAAGCAUCAGGUAACAUCAAAUCGUACCCCAAACCGACACAGGUGGUCAGGUAGAGAAUACCAAGGCGCUUGAGAGAACUCGGGUGAAGGAACUAGGCAAAAUGGUGCCGUAACUUCGGGAGAAGGCACGCUGACACGUAGGUGAAGUGAUUUACUCAUGGAGCUGAAGUCAGUCGAAGAUACCAGCUGGCUGCAACUGUUUAUUAAAAACACAGCACUGUGCAAACACGAAAGUGGACGUAUACGGUGUGACGCCUGCCCGGUGCCGGAAGGUUAAUUGAUGGGGUCAGCGCAAGCGAAGCUCCUGAUCGAAGCCCCGGUAAACGGCGGCCGUAACUAUAACGGUCCUAAGGUAGCGAAAUUCCUUGUCGGGUAAGUUCCGACCUGCACGAAUGGCGUAAUGAUGGCCAGGCUGUCUCCACCCGAGACUCAGUGAAAUUGAACUCGCUGUGAAGAUGCAGUGUACCCGCGGCAAGACGGAAAGACCCCGUGAACCUUUACUAUAGCUUGACACUGAACAUUGAGCCUUGAUGUGUAGGAUAGGUGGGAGGCUUUGAAGUGUGGACGCCAGUCUGCAUGGAGCCGACCUUGAAAUACCACCCUUUAAUGUUUGAUGUUCUAACGUGGACCCGUUACCCGGGUUGCGGACAGUGUCUGGUGGGUAGUUUGACUGGGGCGGUCUCCUCCUAAAGAGUAACGGAGGAGCACGAAGGUUGGCUAAUCCUGGUCGGACAUCAGGAGGUUAGUGCAAUGGCAUAAGCCAGCUUGACUGCGAGCGUGACGGCGCGAGCAGGUGCGAAAGCAGGUCAUAGUGAUCCGGUGGUUCUGAAUGGAAGGGCCAUCGCUCAACGGAUAAAAGGUACUCCGGGGAUAACAGGCUGAUACCGCCCAAGAGUUCAUAUCGACGGCGGUGUUUGGCACCUCGAUGUCGGCUCAUCACAUCCUGGGGCUGAAGUAGGUCCCAAGGGUAUGGCUGUUCGCCAUUUAAAGUGGUACGCGAGCUGGGUUUAGAACGUCGUGAGACAGUUCGGUCCCUAUCUGCCGUGGGCGCUGGAGAACUGAGGGGGGCUGCUCCUAGUACGAGAGGACCGGAGUGGACGCAUCACUGGUGUUCGGGUUGUCAUGCCAAUGGCACUGCCCGGUAGCUAAAUGCGGAAGAGAUAAGUGCUGAAAGCAUCUAAGCACGAAACUUGCCCCGA